GACGAACGCUGGCGGCGUGCUUAACACAUGCAAGUCGAACGGAAAGGCCCUGCUUUUGUGGGGUGCUCGAGUGGCGAACGGGUGAGUAACACGUGAGUAACCUGCCCUUGACUUUGGGAUAACUUCAGGAAACUGGGGCUAAUACCGGAUAGGAGCUCCUGCUGCAUGGUGGGGGUUGGAAAGUUUCGGCGGUUGGGGAUGGACUCGCGGCUUAUCAGCUUGUUGGUGGGGUAGUGGCUUACCAAGGCUUUGACGGGUAGCCGGCCUGAGAGGGUGACCGGCCACAUUGGGCCUGCGCUACGGCCCAGACUCCUACGGGAGGCAGCAGUGGGGAAUAUUGCACAAUGGGCGGACGCCUGAUGCAGCAACGCCGCGUGCGGGAUGCCGGCCUUCGGGUUGUAAACCGCUUUCGCCUGUGACGAAGCGUGAGUGACGGUAAUGGGUAAAGAAGCACCGGCUAACUACGUG
rnacentral:rRNA from 1 species